rnacentral:rRNA from 1 species
AUUGAACGCUGGCGGCAUGCCUUACACAUGCAAGUCGAACGGCAGCACGGGUGCUUGCACCUGGUGGCGAGUGGCGAACGGGUGAGUAAUACAUCGGAACAUGUCCUGUAGUGGGGGAUAGCCCGGCGAAAGCCGGAUUAAUACCACAUACGAUCUACGGAUGAAAGCGGGGGACCUUCGGGCCUCGCGCUAUAGGGUUGGCCGAUGGCUGAUUAGCUAGUUGGUGGGGUAAAGGCCUACCAAGGCGACGAUCAGUAGCUGGUCUGAGAGGACGACCAGCCACACUGGGACUGAGACACGGCCCAGACUCCUACGGGAGGCAGCAGUGGGGAAUGUUGGACAAUGGGCGAAAGCCUGAUCCAGCAAUGCCGCGUGUGUGAAGAAGGCCUUCGGGUUGUAAAGCACUUUUGUCCGGAAAGAAAUCCUUGGCCCUAAUACGGUCUGGGGAUGACGGUACCGGAAGAAUAAGCACCGGCUAACUACGUG